GACGAACGCUGGCGGCGUGCUUAACACAUGCAAGUCGUACGGUAAGGCCCUUUCGGGGGUACACGAGUGGCGAACGGGUGAGUAACACGUGCGUAGCCUGCCCACAACUUUGGGAUAACGCUAGGAAACUGGUGCUAAUACUGGAUAUGUGCUCCUGCUGCAUGGUGGGGGUUGGAAAGCUCCGGCGGUUGUGGAUGGACUCGCGGCCUAUCAGCUUGUUGGUGGGGUAGUGGCCUACCAAGGCGGCGACGGGUAGCCGGCCUGAGAGGGUGACCGGCCACAUUGGGACUGAGAUACGGCCCAGACUCCUACGGGAGGCAGCAGUGGGGAAUAUUGCACAAUGGGCGCAAGCCUGAUGCAGCAACGCCGCGGGCGGGAUGACGGCCUUCGGGUUGUAAACCGCUUUCAGCAGGGACGAAGCUUUUUGUGACGGUACCUGCAGAAGAAGCACCGGCUAACUACGUG
rnacentral:rRNA from 1 species